rnacentral:rRNA from 1 species
GGACGGGUGAGUAACACGUGGAUAACCUACCUAUAAGACUGGGAUAACUUCGGGAAACCGGAGCUAAUACCGGAUAAGAUUUUGAACCGCAUGGUUCAAUAGUGAAAGACGGCCUUGCUGUCACUUAUAGAUGGAUCCGCGCCGUAUUAGCUAGUUGGUAAGGUAACGGCUUACCAAGGCAACGAUACGUAGCCGACCUGAGAGGGUGAUCGGCCACACUGGAACUGAGACACGGUCCAGACUCCUACGGGAGGCAGCAGUAGGGAAUCUUCCGCAAUGGGCGAAAGCCUGACGGAGCAACGCCGCGUGAGUGAUGAAGGUCUUCGGAUCGUAAAACUCUGUUAUCAGGGAAGAACAAACGUGUAAGUAACUGUGCACGUCUUGACGGUACCUGAUCAGAAAGCCACGGGUAAGUGCGUGCCAGCAACCGCGGGUAAUACGUAGGGUGGGCAAGCGUUAUCCAGAAUUA